AUCAGACAGGUUGGAGGACAUAUCGCAGGCCAGAUGAGAAGUCAGGAGGACAUGGUGUUGGAUGGAGUCCUAUUAUUCCAUACACCUUUUCAGUGCCUCAAGAAUGGGAAGAGGUGAUGAUUUAUGAACUCAUCUUAUGUUUGAAGUUAGAAAUUAAUCCUAUAAUAUUUCUGAGUCCUGUCUCAACUUGUCCCAAAGUAUUUAGAGUGGUCAUUGUUUUGGAAGAGCUCAUAAAAUUAAAAUAACUGUUCUUGCUCUCUUUUUAGCCGAGAAAAAUUUCAUUCUCUUUUAUUCAGAAGAUAUUUUCUCACAUUUGAUCGUCUAGAGGACAUUAUAUAUGUUUAACAGGUACCUGUAUCAAUAGCGGAUCUUGGUGGCACCGAGUUAGAUUUGAGAUUUUCCAGCUCUAAGGAAGGACGUUUGUUUGUCAUUGUUGCACCUGUUCUUAGAUUCUCUGACGGUGAGUUUGCCCGAUUUCCUUUUGUUUUUUAGCUUUCUGGACACAAGGAGAAUAAAAUUGAAAUAGAAUGAACACAAACUUUUACUAUACAGAACUUGGUGAUAAUGCUACAAUAGAAAAAAUUGGACCUCCGGACAAAGUGAUCAGCGCUUUUGGUCCAGAAAUGAUUGGAGAAAAUGUAGAAGGGAAGGUUCUUAGUUCAAGUGUAGCAGAACAUGAAGGAAGAACUUACUAUAAGUUUGAGCUAGAGCCUCCUCAUAUUUUCAUUACGG
rnacentral:lncRNA from 1 species